rnacentral:rRNA from 1 species
UAACCGCCGAACUGGUCCACCUGAUUGGAGGUUGCUUCAAUCAGUAACGGCGUUUGGACAGUGGUCGGCGACCCACAUCCCCGGCAGAAAAUCCGCAGAAGAAGCACCGGCUAACUCCGUGCCAGCAGCCGCGGUAAUACGGAGGGUGCAAGCGUUAAUCGGAAUUACUGGGCGUAAAGCGCACGCAGCCAUCGUCAGCAGAGGGAUUCCCGGUUUAAAGAGUUUGUCACUUUGCUGUAUUUCAUCAAGUUUAAACCAGGCACGGGAAC